UGGGGAAUAUUGCACAAUGGGCGCAAGCCUGAUGCAGCCAUGCCGCGUGUGUGAAGAAGGCCUUCGGGUUGUAAAGCACUUUCAGCGAGGAGGAAGGUGGUGAACUUAAUACGUUCAUCAAUUGACGUUACUCGCAGAAGAAGCACCGGCUAACUCCGUGCCAGCAGCCGCGGUAAUACGGAGGGUGCAAGCGUUAAUCGGAAUUACUGGGCGUAAAGCGCACGCAGGCGGUUUGUUAAGUCAGAUGUGAAAUCCCCGGGCUCAACCUGGGAACUGCAUUUGAAACUGGCAAGCUAGAGUCUCGUAGAGGGGGGUAGAAUUCCAGGUGUAGCGGUGAAAUGCGUAGAGAUCUGGAGGAAUACCGGUGGCGAAGGCGGCCCCCCUGGACGAAGACUGACGCUCAGGUGCGAAAGCGUGGGGCAGCAAACAGGAUUAGAUACCCUGGUAGUCACGCUGUAAACGAUGUCGAUUUGGAGGUUGUGCCCUUGAGGCGUGGCUUCCGGAGCUAACG
rnacentral:rRNA from 1 species